GGGCGGUUAGCUCAGUUUGGUUAGAGCGCUUGCUUGACAUGCAAGAGGUCGGCAGUUCGAGCCUGCCAUCGCCCACCA
rnacentral:tRNA from 1 species